CAUAAAAAUGUGGACAUAUAGCAAGAGCGUGGGAUAUGCAAUAAGUGUCUAAAGCAUAAUAAAAUUGAAGUAAAGUAUAAGUAUCUUUCUCCAUGCUAAUUUCAGUUUAAACACCAUUAACAUGAAAUACAAAUGUACUGCAAGUAAGAUAUAGCUGAGAAUAAUGGAAUAGGACUAUGGAGUAUCACAAACAGCCUGAUUAUUCUAACAAGAAAUAAAGAACCGUCUACAUUACAUGAAAUUAUAAAGGUUACUGAAUGCUUCUUUUAUCACGCGACCAAGAGAAAAUAUGUCAUGCAUUGUAAAAAAGUAAAGAUGACCUUCA